CAGAAUAACUGUAGAAUGUGUCAAGAAAGCCACUUCCUGAUGUAAGGAAGAACUGUCUGGACUGUCUAGAACCUGGGCUCUAGAACUGGAUAUCCUUUGGCCCAGUGAUCCCAGUUUCCCAGGGUAUAAGACUCAGAGAGGAAUGCUUUCUGGGACCCCCCAGCUGCCGCAUGACACAGGAUACUUGCAGCCGAUACUCCACCCUCCCUGCAGCUUCCCUGAGCCUGGGGGACCUCGCUGCCUGACUGUGCUCAUUUUUGGUAGAUCAUUUCUCUGGGUGCAGAAGCAAAGUGACAGGAUGUCGGAGGAGCCCCUCACCUAUCAUGCACGCGAAGGUUUGGCCCUGUGAGAACAGCCACGGGACAGAUUUCCUGCUGAAUGAGGGCUCGGAAAAGCCCAGGGCCUACUGCAUACUUCCUGUUGCCCACUCGUGAGCCAGUGCUGGUCUAGUGACUGCCACAGUGUAGGCCAAGGCCUUGGGAGAGGAAUCUGCAGCCCUGUGGCUGAAGAGCUGGGUGAUGCUCCAUCUCAGGUCGUCCUGUGCACCGAAAGGCCAGGGCGCUGGAGAAGCCCUAGACCCUGCAGAGCAGCUUCUGCGUGCCCUGCCCACCUCGCCUGCCCCUUGAGAACCCCAGCUGUGCACCACCUGCGUCCUCGCUGCUUCCAGGCCUUUCCUGACAAGGCUCAGCUUUCACUUAGCCUCCCUCCUGACAGCCCAGAGCCCACAGGCCCGAAGGGAAGCUCCACAGGGCAUUCCCUUCCCCAGCUCUCCCAGGAGGAGGGAGGAGGGGCUCUGUACCAGGCAUCACCAUGCCCAAGGAGCUGGCCCUACAUUCAUCCAGGCUCCAGAAGAUGUGCCUGAGACCAGCCUUGGUGAAACUGCGGUUCCGGUCUCCAUUCAGAGCAGCCCCACUUCCCCUUCUCUGGGUUUCAUGCCUCAAGAGUCAUCAGUUACAGAACAGUCCCCCAUCCUGUGAUUACGUUGCUGGAGUCAAGGCUCUAUCAGAGACAUUAAUAGCCUGUGUCUUUCAUUGCCUUAAAGAACCUAGUGGUCAUGAUGUUCUCAGAAGAAACAAUAUUGCCUUUCCCCCGGUAACAUGAACUUGCUCAAAUUGAAAUCAGCUGACUCAACAGAAUCAUCAUUUAAAUGCAGCAAGCGGAACUCAGGGCACUUGAAUCUUGUGAUGAAUUAUUUCAUAAGUUAAUGUCUACAAUGUGAGUGAUUCUACUAAUUUAACAGGUGUUAAGUAUUAUGAGCAGAGUUUCUUAAUGCCUAUAUAAAGCCUGCUAAGGGGCUGGGCAUGGAGGCUCACACCUGUAAUCCCAACACUUUGGGAGGCCGAGGUGGGCAGAUUACUGGAGGUCAAGAGUUCAAGACCAGACUGGUCAGCAUGGUGAAACCCCAUCUCUACUAAAAAUACAAAAAUUAGCCGGGCGUGGUGGUGGGCGCCUGUGAUCCCAGCUACUCAGGAAGGGGAGGCAGGAGAAUCGCUUGAACCCAGGAGGCGGAGCUUGCAGUGAGCCGAGAUUGCUCCACUAAACUCCAGCCUGGGUAACAGAGCAACACUCUUUCUAAAAAAAAUAAUAAUAAUACAGCCUGCUAAGCGUUUCACAUAGCUGACAGAUUAUUUCCUCCUCUUGUAAAAUAUAUAAUACUUGAUCAAGUAUAAAAUAUAUAUUUUCAUAAAAAGGAAUGAAGCACCCAUAUGUGCUACAGCAUGGAUGGACCUCAGAAGCAUUAUGCUCGGUGAAAGGAGCUCGUGACAAAAGGCCAGAUGUCCUUCUGUGAGUCCAUUUACAUGAAAUGUCCAGAAUAGACAAAUCCAUUGAGACAGAAGGAAGACUGGUAGUUGUCAGAGGCCGGGGACAAGGGAGACUGGGAAGUAACUGCUUCAUGGGUAUGGGAUUUUUUUGGGGGGUGAAGUUGUUUUGGAAUUAGAGAGAGGUGGUGGUUACACAACACUGUAAAUGUACUGUCACUGAAUUGUACGUCACAGUGGCUCACGCUUGUAAUGUCAGCACUUUGGGAGGCCAAGGUGGGGGGAUCACCUGAGGCCUGGAGUUUGAGGCUAGCCUGGCCAACAAGGUGAAACCCCGUCUCUACUAAAAAUACAAAAAUUAGCCAGGCAUGGUGGUGCACGCCUGUAUUCCCAGCUACUCAGGAGGCUGAGGAGGGAGAAUCACUUGAACCCGGGAGGUGGAGGUUGCAGUGAGCCGAGAUUGCGCCAUUACACUCCAGCCUGGGCCACAGAGGGAGACUCCAUCUCAAAAAAAAAUUAAAAAAAAAUAAAUUUUUUGAAAGACUAAAGAUUAUUUAUUUUCUCCUAAAUUCAAUAAAAUAUUACUUUUUUCAAUUAUAAAAUACAUAUAAAAAUUUACCCUUUUAUCCAUUUUUAAGGUAUUAAGUAUAUUCACAUUGUUGUAUAACUGUCACCACCGUCCAUCUCCAGGGCUCCUUUCAUCAUGCAAAGCAGAGACUCUGUGCCCAUUCAACACUAAUUCCCAUCCCCCUGACCCCAGCCCCUGGUGACUACUAUUCUAGUUUCUGUCUCUAUUAAUUUGACUAAGAACCUCAGGUUAAGUGGAACCAUAUAGCAUGUGUCCAGAGUGACUGGUUUAUUUCACUUAGCACAGUGUUCUCCAGGUUCAUCCAUGGUCUAGCAUGUGUCAGCGUUUCUUUCCUUUUUAGGGGUGAAUAAUAUUCCAUGUUGCGUACAUCCUGCAUUUUUUUAUCCAUUCAUCUGUCAAUGGACGCUUGGGUUACUUCCACCUUUUGAUUAUUACAAAUAACGCUGCUAUGGAUACGGGGUUGCAAAUAUCUUUUUCAGUCCCUGUCUUCAAUUUUUUGGGGUGUAUACCAAGAAGUGGAAUUGUUGGAUCCUAUGGAAACUCGAUUUUUAAUUUUUGGGGAAUGGCCAUACUAAGAUGGUUAAUUUUCUGUUAUGUGAAUUCACUUCCACAAAAAAUAUUGUGAUGACGUAUCUCCAUUAAGUAGGCUUGUGCAAUUUCAUAGUUUGAAAGUAUUAAAAGCUGUAAUUUCUCUAAAGUGACUUGGUGUGGAGGUAAAAAGACUCCACCCAAAGAAACGACAAGACAGAAGUCUUUCCAGCCACCGUUACCUGACUCUCAGAAGACGCCCGGCCUCUCCGCUUGGAAUGGUGGGAGGCCAUCACGUGAGCCCGGAUGCUUUCCUCAUCAGAGGUGUCCACAUCGGCCAAGUACUGCAGGGGCAGCUGCUCAUUCCUGAUGACAUUCGACCCUUCAGAGCGAGAGUGGGUUUGAAUUACUUGCAGUGAAAACCUGAAAGCUGAUGGACGUGUUUAGUCCAAUGAAGAAAAAUGAGGCUCAAAGAAAAUGAAGACAUAAGGAUGUUCAUGUUACAGGGCUGAGGUUCCAAAGUCACAAUAAGAAUGGGGCAGAUUCCACAGCCACACACAAAGAUCUUCAGGAAAAAAGAGGACCUUGCCUGGCAUUGUGGGUGGGGGUUAUGAGUGGACAUACUUUGCAUGUUUGCAAAGUAAAUGUAAUAUGAUUCCCAAUUUCAAAUUGCAAAUAACACCAGAUUCCAUGAUAAGAUCAUAAACAUGUUGUUUCAAGCCAC
rnacentral:lncRNA from 10 species